rnacentral:rRNA from 1 species
GAUGAACGCUGGCGGCGUGCCUAAUACAUGCAAGUCGAGCGAACGGACCAGAAGCUUGCUUCUCUGAUGUUUGCGGCGCACGGGUGAAUAACACGUGGAUCACCUACCUAUAAGACUGGGAUAACUUCGGGAAACCGGAGCUAAUACCGUAUAAUAUUUUGAACCGCAUGGUUCAAAAGUGAAAUACGGUCUUGCUGUCACUUCUAGCUGGAUCCGCGCUGCAUUAGCUAGUUGUUAAGUUAACGGCUUACCACGGCAACGAUGCAUAGCCGACCUGAGAGAGUGAUCGGCGACCCGGGAAGUUGGACGCGGUACAUAGGACUACGGGAGGGAGCAGUAGAGAACGGUAGGCAACAGGCGGAAACCUUACGGAGCGGCGGCAAGUGAGUGACGAAGAUCUCCGGAGCGUGAAGCUCUGUUACUGGGGAAAAACAUAUGUGUAAGUAACCGAGCAGAUAGUGACGGUACCUAAUCAGAAAGCAACGGCUAACUACGUG